UGACCACAAAUGUAUGGUGGCCGAGCGUUGCCACUCGUUUUUUUUGUACAUUUUACAUUAUUUUAAAGAUUUUUUUACUUUUUAUUUUUUUAAUUAAAAUGAAAAAUAAAAAUAAAUUAAAAUGAAAUACAAAAUAAAUUAAAAUGAAAUACAAAAUAAAUUAAAAUGAAAUGCAAAAUAAUUUACAAUUAAAAUUAAAGUAAAAGUGAAUUUCACCAUGGCCGAGGGCUGCCACUACCAAAAUAUUCUUUAUAAUUUUUUUUUAAUUAAAGUGAAAAAUAAAAAUAAAUUAAAAUGAAAAAUAAAAGUAAAUUAAAAUGAAAUACAAAAUACUGAUUUACAAUUAAAAUUACAAAGUAAAAGUGAAUUUCACCAUGGCCGAGGGCUGCCACUACCAUAAUGCACAGCGACCCGAGAGAAAUUCCCAUGAGCCGAGCACACUGGCCGAGCAGCGGCCGAGCGCUAUCAUAACAUCCCAUGAACCUUUGCCCGCGCGGAAAGCAACAUGGCGGAGAAAUGGCGAAAGUUCAAAGAAGAUAUGAAAAAAAAACGCUUGAGUGGGAAGAGCCAAAAAGGGAAAGAUGUUUCCAAACGUGAAAUAACUGUUCAAAUGUUAAGCGCGGACGUGUUGGGCAAGGCCCAAAAGUAUUCACGUAUCGGCCCAAGGGAAUUUGUCCAGUUAUAUGACGACGACGAUGAAGAUCUAGAUCGAUUUUAUACAAAAGAAGAGAUGACAAUUGAACGAGUGAAGGAUGCAUGCCUGAAACAUUUUGAACCGAAGGUUGGAAACAAUGUUGUAUGUGAUAUUCUUGCCGGUGAGCAAGGACCUUCCUGCGCAUCCUUGAAGCAAAUACCUAAUAUGAAUCUUAUAUACGUCAGAUUCAUAAACAAAAGCUCGACAGCAGAUGCGCCUGUAUUCGUUGAUGAUACUGACCCAGUUCAUCCGCAAAGCACAACUGUAAAACGAAAGGGCCCUAACUCUGUUCCAAGUCCAAAAAAAGCUAAAAUCUCAACACCAAUGCCCAAGAGUCUCUCGGUAACCCAUAUGUUGAAACUAGGUAAACUUAUAAACAAGUCUACCACUACCAUCCACUUGUAUGGAUUUAAUUUGGCAGAUAUGAGCUGGUCGUCUUCACCAAGGGCAGUUGAAUUUAGUGUUUCAGAAGAUGUGCUCGGAGAAGGUGCAUUCCGAAAAGCUUAUAAAGCAGAAUCAAAAGAUGAGAGCUUUGCUGGUUCAUGGGUAGUCAAAGAAUAUAAUGAAAAUGCAUUGGAUGUCAUUGCUGAGUCCAAUCAAACUCUCGAAACCCAUACAAAGAAGGUUGUACAAAUGCACAGCUUAGCCCAGAACUUUGCAAGCCAACUGAAGACAAGUGUUGAGCAAAAUGGCAUGCAAGAAUCUUUUGGUGAUUGUUUUCAUUAUGGGAGUGUCUACUUAGGAAAAAAAGGUGACGAAUUUGUCACAGUUGAAGAGUUUGUAGAUGGAGAGUUUAGUAAGUAUAUAAACAAUGAUGGCACAUUGUGCAAGAAUGUCAACGAAGUUAUAUUACAGAAAGCAGAGUGUCUUUCUCAUUUUUCUUUUGAAAAAUCCAACAAUCAGGUAAUGGUGUUAGAUAUCCAAGGAUGUGGCUACUCCCUUGUAGACCCAGAAGUUGCAUCAUCUUCCCUCUUUGAUGAAAAUAAAGAAUUACUUUUUACCACAGGGAAUUUGUCAUUUGAAGCAAUUGCAAAAUUUAAACUCAUUCAUAGAUGUAAUGAGUACUGUGAGCUUCUGAAGCUUAAAGUACUUGUAUAGAAAGAAUACACAAACUGCUGUUAGGGGAAAGUAAUGAUGUAUCUUUAAAACAUUGUUCUUAUUUCAGUUUGGUGUAUAACAAGGACACCUAAAACUUGAUAUUAUCGACAUUAUCUGUUAGUUACUCUUGAAGAUUCAUUAAUGUCUUUUAAGAACAUAUCAGACUUUAAAUCGCAUCCCUAGUAAUGUGGUAGCAAAGAGUGACUGGGCAAGCAUCUGUUUAACACCAGGUUAUAAUAAAAAAACUUUUAUGAACACAUUGGGCAAUUUAAUUCAAGUCUUAAAUUAACAGUUGGAAAACAUAGUAGGUCCAAUGUCUUUUACCACUUUUGGUGACUAGUGUUUGCAGUAAAGAUUGAUCACCAUUUAUGUUUUUGCUUGCUACACUGGUUUAAAUAAAUUAUUACAAAGCCUAUUUGAAUUGUAAUCAAACCCCAAUGUUUCGACACUCCAGUCUAGUGUCUUCAUCAGGGGUAAUCUAAAAUUGCAAUGUAGCUUCUUACAUACCCAAAGGAUGACAUCACCUGCCAAUGAGAUGCAUGUAUUCCUCUGGUAAAUAGGCACUGUCAUCCCUAUUCAAAGGAUGAUUACUCAUUUAUAUGCCACACUAGUCAAAGACUAUGCCUAGAAGCAUGGCAUAUAAAUAUGAGUAAUCAUGCUUUGAAUAGGGAUGACGGUGCCUAUUUACCAGAGGGAUACAUGCAUCUCAUUGGCAGGUGACGUCAUCCCUUGGGUAUUUAAGAAGCCAACGAUUGUAACUUCAGAUCACCCCUGAAGACACUAGACUGGAGUGUCGAAAUGUUGGGUCUUGAUUACAAUUCGACUGGGCUUUGUAAUCAUUUAUUUAAACCGGAGUAGCAAGCGAGAACAUGGUUGAUAUACCUGGUUGCAGUGAACGAACAAACUUUGAUCACCAUUUGUUUUUCUUUCCAUCUAUCCAGGAUUGUUUUUGUUUAAACUUUACAUGAGAACAACAAACAUCAAAUCAAUUUUCAGAAGUUAUUGAACUACUUUAAAUUAAGAACUUAACCAGACUGGUUGCUACCAUGUUUCUAAGGAUUUGGUUUAAAUCUGUAUUUACAAAAUGAAUUUAAAUUUAGUUUACAUCUAUAUGUAGCAUCUACAAUGUUGUGUUAAAGUUUUCUUUGAGAUAUAUGAAUGCAGAUGCACAAUCUUUAGGUUCUAUUUUUUCUGUUUUUGGUAGAAGCGAUUCACAUCUUCUAAAUGAGGCAUCAAGGAAGUCAUCUUCCAUAUCUUGAUUGCACAGACAUGCAUCUAUAGACAUCUAUUAUAAAGAACAUUAAAAUUGACAUGUUAAAAUUAACUAUUAUAAUGUUGUUUCAAGUAUAAGUAUGCAUCUUGGCAUUCAUUUGGUUUGAUUGUGUCAUGAUCAGGGAUCAGUCUUUCACAUUCUGCUCUAACAUUUGGCUCCAAAUAGUCAUCUGGUACUUGCAAAAUGCCAGAUAGGGUAGCUGCCUCCUUCAGCUGUUCUUCAGUUACUUUUAGGCCUGUAAAAUAAGGUACUAUGUAAAGGUUACAGAAUGGUCAUAUGUGCUCCAUACAAGGAUGGAUUUUCUGGGGGAUGCACACCCCCCAAAAAAAUUUCCACCCCCCCCCUGCCAAAAUUUAAAAGCAUUAAAUUAAACUACCGUUAAUUAAGUAAGAUAGAAAUAUUAAAAUCAACAUGUUUCUAUAUAUGCUUUUUUGCA
rnacentral:lncRNA from 1 species